UAUUUUUUAAUGCUUAUCACUUCUUGGAUAGACAAUACAUAUUGAAGUUUUUUUCUCAGAACAAGCAAUUGCGUUAGACUGGCCAUGGCCUUAUGUUAUUAUGACGUCAAUGAAAAGUCUCUGUAGUUCCUUAAUGGAAUUUAAAUGGGCCAAUGAAAUGUGGCGGUCUUCGAUCCAACGUGGCAGCGAGAACCAAUGAGAACCGAUGUCUCAUCCUGAAAUGAACAGGUACAAUCUCAUCCAGCUGUUAAUUGGUUGACUGAGGCAGGAUCAGAAGAUGUGUGAGAGGCGCUCCGGAGCGUCACCUGGCUGAAAAGCAACGAGUUGCAGAUCUUGAUGACAGGGAUCCAUCUUCAGGUUUGCAUCACCUGCAGGAUUGAUUAGUACUUCCGUCAGCAUGAUGCACCCUUCUCUGGUCAGCUCCACAACUCC